rnacentral:tRNA from 1 species
GCGUUCAUAGUUCAACGGAGAGAAUACCUAACUACGAAUUAGGAGAGUAAGAGUUCAAGUCUCUUUGAGCGUUCCA